rnacentral:tRNA from 1 species
GGUGGCUCAGUGGUAAAGCGCUUGCCUUCCAUGCAUGAGGCCCUGGGUUUGAUUCCCCAGCACCA